rnacentral:rRNA from 1 species
CCUACGGGUGGCAGCAGUGAGGAAUAUUGGUCAAUGGCCGGAAGGCUGAACCAGCCAAGCCGCGUGAAGGACGAAGGUGCCAAGCAUUGUAAACUUCUUUUGUCAAGGGACAAAAUCAGGCUCGAGAGCCUGACCGAGGGUACUUGAAGAAAAAGCAUCGGCUAACUCCGUGCCAGCAGCCGCUGUAAUACGGAGGAUGCGAGCGUUAUCCGGAGUUAUUGGGUUUAAAGGGUGCGUCGGCGGGCGUUUAAGUCAGCGGUAAAAGCCCGGGGCUCAACCCCGGCGAGCCGUUGAAACUGGCGGUCUUGAGAUGUCGAGAGGUAUGCGGAAUGCGCAGUGGAGCGGUGAAAUGCUUAGAUAUUGCGCAGAACUCCGAUUGCGAAGGCAGCAUACCGGCGGCGAUCUGACGCUGAGGCACGAAAGCGUGGGUAUCGAACAGGAUUAGAUACCCUUGUAGUC